rnacentral:rRNA from 1 species
CCUGCCGGACCUGACUGCUAUCGGAUUGAUACUAAGCCAUGCGAGUCUUUGUAGUAAUACAAGGCAGACGGCUCAGUAACACGUAGUCAACCUACCCUAUGGACGAGAAUAAUCUCGGGAAACUGAGCAUAAUUCUCGAUAGAUCAUAAUGCCUGGAAUGGUUUAUGGUUAAAAUGAUUCGUCGCCAUAGGAUGGGACUGCGGCCUAUCAGCUUGUUGGUGAGGUAAUGGCCCACCAAGGCGAUUACAGGUACGGGCUCUGAGAGGAGAAGCCCGGAGAUGGGUACUGAGACACGGACCCAGGCCCUAUGGGGCGCAGCAGGCGAGAAAACUUUGCAAUGUGCGAAAGCACGACAAGGUUAAUCCGAGUGAUUUCUGCUAAAGAAAUCUUUUGUCAGUCAUAAAACCACUGGCGAAUAAGGGGUGGGCAAGUUCUGGUGUCAGCCGCCGCGGUAAAACCAGCACCUCAAGUGGUCAGGAUGAUUAUUGGGCCUAAAGCAUCCGUAGCCGGCUUUGUAAGUUUUCGGUUAAAUCCAUGUGCUCAACGCAUGGGCUGCCGAAAAUACUGCAUGGCUAGGGAGUGGGAGAGGUAGACGGUACUCAGUAGGAAGGGGUAAAAUCCUUUGAUCUAUUGAUGACCACCUGUGGCGAAGGCGGUCUACCAGAACACGUUCGACGGUGAGGGAUGAAAGCUGGGGGAGCAAACCGGAUUAGAUACCCGGGUAGUCCCAGCCGUAAACGAUGCAGACUCGAUGAUGCAUUGGCAUAAUAGCCAAUGCAGUGUCGCAGGGAAGCCGUUAAGUCUGCCGCCUGGGAAGUACGUACGCAAGUAUGAAACUUAAAGGAUUGGCGGGGGAGCACCACAAGGGGU